AGUGAACGCUGGCGGUAGGCCUAACACAUGCAAGUCGAACGGCAGCACAGUAAGAGCUUGCUCUUACGGGUGGCGAGUGGCGGACGGGUGAGGAAUACAUCGGAAUCUACUUUUUCGUGGGGGAUAACGUAGGGAAACUUACGCUAAUACCGCAUACGACCUACGGGUGAAAGCAGGGGAUCUUCGGACCUUGCGCGAUUGAAUGAGCCGAUGUCGGAUUAGCUAGUUGGCGGGGUAAAGGCCCACCAAGGCGACGAUCCGUAGCUGGUCUGAGAGGAUGAUCAGCCACACUGGAACUGAGACACGGCCCAGACUCCUACGGGAGGCAGCAGUGGGGAAUAUUGGACAAUGGGCGCAAGCCUGAUCCAGCCAUACCGCGUGGGUGAAGAAGGCCUUCGGGUUGUAAAGCCCUUUUGUUGGGAAAGAAAAGCAGCAGGUUAAUACCCCGCUGUUCCGACGGUACCCAAAGAAUAAGCACCGGCUAACUUCGUG
rnacentral:rRNA from 1 species